rnacentral:rRNA from 1 species
GUGUCAGCAGCCGCGGUAAUACGGGGGGGGCAAGCGUUGUUCGGAAUUACUGGGCGUAAAGGGCGCGUAGGCGGCCUACUAAGUCGGACGUGAAAUCCCUCGGCUCAACCGAGGAACUGCGUCCGAUACUGGCAGGCUGGAAUCCGGGAGAGGGAUGUGGAAUUCCAGGUGUAGCGGUGAAAUGCGUAGAUAUCUGGAGGAACACCGGUGGCGAAGGCGGCAUCCUGGACCGGUAUUGACGCUGAGGCGCGAAAGCUAGGGGAGCAAACGGGAUUAGAUACCCUUGUAGUCC